GCCUAACACAUGCAAGUACACGCGAAAGCGGGGCAACCCGCAAGUAGAGUGGCGGACGGGUGAGUAACGCGUAGGAAUCUACCUGGUAGUGGGGGACAACCCGGUGAAAACCGGGCUAAUACCGCAUACGAUCCACGGAUGAAAGCAGGGGACCGCAAGGCCUUGCGCUAUCAGAUGAGCCUGCGUCGGAUUAGCUAGUUGGUGAGGUAACGGCUCACCAAGGCGACGAUCCGUAGCUGGUUUGAGAGAACGACCAGCCACACCGGAACUGAGACACGGUCCGGACUCCUACGGGAGGCAGCAGUGGGGAAUAUUGGACAAUGGGGGCAACCCUGAUCCAGCAAUGCCGCGUGUGUGAAGAAGGCCUUCGGGUUGUAAAGCACUUUCGGUGGGGACAAACAAGGCGGAGCUAACAUCUCCGUCCCUGAUGGUACCCAAAGAAGAAGCACCCUUAC
rnacentral:rRNA from 1 species